GAAUAUCAUACUAUAGUGUAUAAAUUUUUAUGAAAAAUGUAUCGAAUUCCUUUAUUUUUAAUACGGAUUGAGGAAUAAAACCAUUUCUUGGUUAGAUAGUUUUAGUUUUCAUCUUAAUUCUUCAUUUCUUAAUACCUUUAUAGAAUGAUGCCCAAUUCAUCUAAUAGUAAUAUGGAGUACUAAAUUUCUCCCUCAUUGAAGUAGAUAUUCUCACUGCUGCAUAGAUCAAAUUAUUAUUCUAACAAAUUUUAUUAUAGAAUCAUUUCACUUGUAAUGUAAUUUUAAAAAACAAAUGUAAAAAGCAAAUAAGGAUACGUUGAAUACAAAUGGACAAAAUAUGCUCUUAUUUGGGAAAUUAUAAAAAAAUCAUAGACCUAGACGAUAAGAAGCCCGCAGAUAACAUAGCCCUGUCAUUUUUUUUCUCUCUAGAAUAUCCCUCUCUCAGUCUUAUCUAAUAAUAUACAUCUGAAUGAAUGAGACGCUGCCCAGACUCCAAAUCCUAUCUUUGCAGAUGCUUCCCGUCCCCUGCCAUGGCAGCUGUGUCAUUGUAAUUUGUAUUAUAUACGAAGCUGUCAUUGACAUGACAUCUCUAUCUCUUUUUAUCGAUAUUGUGCUUUGUGGGGAUUCUUUUUUUUUUUUUUUGGUUCACUUGUACUUCUCACAAGCCACAACACAUGCAAGCAUGAUGAAAUUUGCAGUAUCUACAGCUUCUAGCCGAUGCUCACAAUCACAUGCUAGUUUAGAAGUGUUGGGUGGCGCAGAAAUUUUGAAAUCUAAUAUGGGCUUUUAUGAAUUACCUUGAGAAAAGAUCAAAAGAAUAAUGGCUUAUAAUGAUCUACAGGCAAUUGAAUGUUUGUUAUACAAAUGAUAUAUACAUAUUUUUAUCAAUUAAACUAUUUUCAGAGCGGCUUCAGUAUUGUUGAUAAUAAAAUGUAUCAGAUCCCUAAUAAUUGAGUUAUCAUGAUUAAGAAUGGUUGUGAAAUAGAAUUAAACAAGAUCAGUAUUUUUAUCUCAAUUACCGUGACAUAAUCUAAUAAUCAAAUAUCACUUAACACAUGAUGACAAGUAAGAUUUAACACAUGAAAACAAGUAAGAUUUUUUAGCUGGCAGAUGAAUAUUUGUUUUCUUUUGUUAUUCCGGGUCUUGUCCUUCACAAGGAAUAAUUUAAAAAGGUUAUUUCUCUAACAAGAAAAAAGAAUAAAUAAAUUUUGUUAUUAAGUAACUUACAUUAUUGCAAAAUUAUUAUUAGAAAUUCAAGAAUAGUCUAAUUGAUUCUACUUUUAAAUAAUUAAUUAUAAUUUAAUGGUUAAUAUAAGUUUAUCAUAACGUAACUUAACAACACUAUUCUUAUGCUGCGUUUACUUUUUAGAUUGGAGUGGGAAUCCUGAGGAGUGGGAAUCCUUGGAUUAGGAGUGUGGAGUGGGAGUGAGAGUAGGGUAUUUACUUAGACUAAAUGAAAGUAUGGAUUAUCAAUUAGAAUCCUAAUUAUUUGUUUACUUUGUCUUGGAUUGUAAGUAAAUUGUUUUAAAUUAUAAU
rnacentral:lncRNA from 1 species